rnacentral:hammerhead_ribozyme from 1 species
AUCUAGCUGAUGAGUCCAAAAUAGAACGAAACGUGUGUUCUGGAU